UACAGAGGGUGCGAGCGUUAAUCGGAAUUACUGGGCGUAAAGCGUGCGUAGACGGUUAUUUAAGUCGGAUGUGAAAGCCCCGGGCUCAACCUGGGAAUUGCAUUCGAGACUGAAUAGCUAGGGUGCGGUAGAGGGAAGCGGAAUUUCCGGUGUAGCGGUGAAAUGCGUAGAUAUCGGGAGGAACACCUGUGGCGAAAGCGGCUCUCUGGACCACAACUGACGCUGAGGCGCGAAAGCUAGGGGAGCAAACAGG
rnacentral:rRNA from 1 species